AACAAUAUGAGUUUGAUCCUGGCUCAGGAUGAACGCUAGUAGUAUGCUUUACACAUGCAAGUUUAACGGAGUUUUAACUUCGUAGCGAACGGGUGAGUAAUCGACAAAUUAAUACCUUUCAGUUUAGGACAACAAUUCAUUUAUGAAUUAAAUACUAAAUAAUUAAAAAGGUUUUGUGCCGCUGAAAGAUAAAUUUGUUUAAGAUUAGAUUGUUGGUUAUUUAAAAGAUUACCAAGUCUACGAUCUUUAGUUGGUCUUAGAGGAUGAUCAACCACACUGGAACUGAAAUAAGGUCCAGGCUGAUAUGUCGGCCAGCAGUGAGGAAUAUUGGACAAUGAACGAAAGUUUGAUCCAGCAAUACUACUUGGAUGAUGACGGCUUUUAAAGUUGUAAAAUCCUUUUAUUAAAAAAAGAUAAUGACAUUAUUUAAUAAAUUUAAGUCCCGGCUAAUACUCGUGCCAGCAGCCGCGGUAAUACGGGAGGGGCAAGCGUUAUCCGGCAUGACUGGGCGUAAAGAGUCCGUAGACUGUAAAGUAAGUUUUUUGUUAAACUUUAAAACUCAAUUUUAAAUUAAUCAAUUAAUACUGCUUUACUUCGAGUUUAAUACAGAAAAGCAGAAUUUUAUACGAAAGGGUGAAAUCUGUAGAUAUAUAAAGGAAUGUCAGCAGCGAAGGCGGCUUUUUGGUAUAAACUGACGUUGAGGGACGAAAGUGUGGGUAGCAAACAGGAUUAGAUACCCUGGUAGUCCAUACUGUAAAUUCUGAGUGCUGUAAUUUAAUUGUAAUUUUUCAUAUAUGGAUUUCGUAAGUCAAUCAUUUAUUAAAAAUUAUUUAGAUUUUUAAGCUAACGCAAUAAGCACUCUGCCUGAAGAGUACGAUCUCAAGAUUGGAACUCAAAGGAAUUGACGGGGGCCUAACACUAGUGGUGGAGCAUGUGGUUUAAUGCGAUAAUCCGCGCAAAACCUUACCAAUUCUUGACAUAAUAUUUAUUAUGUCAUGUUAUAUUAGAUACAUUGACUAUAAUAUUUAUUACAGGUGUUGCACGACUGUCGUCAGCUCGUGUCGUGAGAUGUUUGGUUAAGUCCUGAAACGGGCGAAACUCUUAUCUUUAAAUUUCAAUAUACAAUUAAAAAAGUUUCAAUACUUUUUUUAAGCUUUAAAGAAACAGUCAACGAUAAGUUGAGGGAAGGUAAGAAUCAAGUCAAGUCAAUGUGACCCUUAUGAAUUGGGCUACACAUGUGCUACAAUGAAAAUCACAAAAAGUUACAAAAAAGAAAUUUUAAGUUAACCUACAAAAAUUUUCCCAGUUCGGAUUGUAAACUGCAACUCGUUUACAUGAAGUUGGAAUCACUAGUAAUCGCAAAUCAGAACGUUGCGGUGAACAUGUACAUUGGCCUUGUACACACCGCCCGUCACUUGCAAAGAGCUAGUUUUGCUUGAAGGUUUUAAUGAAACCCAUUGAGAAAUUAGUGAUUUGGAUGAAGUCGUAACAAGGUAGCUGUACGGGAACGUGUAGCUGGAACAAAAAUGAA
rnacentral:rRNA from 1 species